rnacentral:lncRNA from 1 species
GAAUCAGAAAGAUUAUUCAUGAAGAAAGGGUUCUAAUUGUCCUGGAUGAUGUCGACCAAGAAAACCAACUGAAUGCACUAGGACUAGGUGCAAGAGGCAAAUGGCAAACUGAUGGCAGUAUUCGGAUCAUUAUUACAACAAGAAAUAAAGGAGUUUUAAAUGAAUGUUAUGUAAAUCGGACUUACGAGGUCGGGGAAUUGCAUUUUGAUCAAGCACUAGAACUUUUCAGCUAUCAUGCGCUCAGAAGAGAGAAACCAACAAAAGAGUUUGAGAAAUUGUCCAGGCAACUUGUAGCUCUC